UGCGUAGGUGGCAAGCGUUAUCCGGAAUUAUUGGGCGUAAAGCGCGCGCAGGCGGUUUCUUAAGUCUGAUGUGAAAGCCCACGGCUCAACCGUGGAGGGUCAUUGGAAACUGGGGAACUUGAGUGCAGAAGAGAAAAGCGGAAUUCCACGUGUAGCGGUGAAAUGCGUAGAGAUGUGGAGGAACACCAGUGGCGAAGGCGGCUUUUUGGUCUGUAACUGACGCUGAGGCGCGAAAGCGUGGGGAGCAAACAGG
rnacentral:rRNA from 1 species